UCUGCGAACAGCGUCGGGCUGGGGACACCGAGAGGCAGAGCCCUGGAGGGCGGCGGAGCCCGCAGCGGAGCCUGCACUCCCUCAGUGCGGCCGGAGCCCGUCCUCCAAGCGCUCCAGUGCCCGCGCUCGUCUCUUGCGGGGCUUCCCGCAGGAGCAGCCUCUGAACCACGGGCUGACUCUGGGCUUGCUAAUUAAACGGAGACGUUUGUCAGCUGCCCCUUCCAGGUGCGGGCAUCACGCAGCACAAGGCAGCGCUGAGGAAAGCUCUGCCCCGGACACGGGCGCUGCAGGUGGUGCCGGCAGGUCCGUGCUCUGCUGGCUGUGGGGCAGGGUUUACUGCCCGUGAAUGAAACCAGUCCUCCUCGGUCACCAGUCAGCACCCACCUGGGACCUCAGACAGGCCCGGAUCUCACCUAAGAGGUAGUUUUACUUGCAGGUGGGGAAGACGAAUUAAAUGAAACGAUUUGCUACAUUAGGGAUGCCAGAGCUAAGCGAGAUGCCAAGUUUCUGACUUCCACAGUACAGCGGUAGCUUGCUCUUUGCUGAGACCCAUACUCGGCUUCUCUUAGAGCCUGAGUGCUUAGCAAGGUAGUGAAUUAGGCCAAUCACAAUAAUUCACACGCAUUUAGCGGCAACUUGUUAAAACAAUGACUUCAGUCACAGGGCAAGUCACCAUAGCGCAGUGGUAGGUGGCAGCAUGAGAGAGAAAAUGAGUUGCUGUGCAGGAGCCACUGAAAUUCAAAGACAAUUAAUGGGGGAAGGAUUACUGGCAAGGAAUUACAGCAAGUGACAUCUAUAUGGAUAGAAGGAGAGGCCUAGGGAAUUUGUAUUAUUUUGUUUGGUUAGGGUUUUUUACUCAUAAAAGUUCUAUUGUUUUUAUUUUAUUUUAUUUGUUUUUAAGUAAUUGGUGUCCUUCCUCCGUGAUUUCAAAGAAAAGGUCGCAAUUCCCACCUCUCAGUAUGUUGACAGACUUUGUGCUCUUUUCCAUUUCCUUGUGUGUAGCAGUUGUAUUGAAUUGAAAGGGUCUAUUCGGUCUCUUCUCUCUGUCUCUCACUGAUUACCAGCCCCAGCGAGGCUGGGGCGCUGCUCUGCACUUCGCUCUGAGCUGCUCUUGGUGCCCGCGAUGGCGCUGCCACUGCAGGCGCUUCCAGGCACUGCUGCAGGCAAGCUGCCUCUCUGCUGUGUUUUUCUGGUUUGUCAUUUACAUGCCGCUCUGGCAUUGCCGUUCCUAGAUGAUAUUUCUGGGCAGAGGAGGUAUGUCCACUUAAUGCCUUACGGCAUUCAGGGAUCUAGCCAGAGCUGGUGAUCUGGAGUAGCUCUCACUCUGACUUAAACCAAACUAGGAAACACUUUAGGAAGCAGGUCCUGGUGUAGAUGUUGUGUUCCCUCAUCAAGAUCCUUUUCUUGCAGCUGAAUAUCCUAUACCGUAUCUUCCCAUCUGGUCUCUUUCCCUUAGCUUAAUCCACAGUGUUCAAGUAUGCACCUUGGGUCAAGCAACACAAGUGUUCAGAUUUCUUUUGACAGUUGGAAAAUAGAAUUAUUUCUGCAAGUAUUUACUUGCUCAUUCACAAAAAUACAAAAAAUAAAUUUGGGUACCAACAAAAUAAAUAAUUGCAGCUGCAUCUGGACUUAAUGAAGGUAGAGAUUUUUAAAAAAUAUUUUUAAAAGGACAUUAAAAAUGUUAAGUCUCUUUUUAUUUGUUUGAGAUUGAGGGAGGCAGGGGGAAAGAGGUCUUUUCCCCUCAUCAUUCUUUCAGGUAUCCAGAAUAAUUUCCAGCUUGGAAGAUUUCUUUAUUUCUGCUGGAAUCCUUAACAAAACAUUAUAUGGGUUGGCUCCAAAGCUUCAGCUGUGCUGGUUAGAUCCCAACCAAGGACUGGUUUAAAAAAGCACCCAGUGCUGAAAGGGAAAUACUUCUUCCUCCUACCAUACCCAGGCUUGAAAUUCUGUCGAUUCUUAUCAGGGCUUCUAAUUGGAGCUGGAAUAUGCAUGGGAAAAUGUUGUUUAAUUAUUUAGUAUUAAAGAGGCCUAUGGAAAUGUGCAUGGUUUUGUGGUAUAGGUUUGAGAUGAAGAGCUUUAAUGUCAUUGCAUGGUAGUGGUGUGUACUGUGAACCUGACAACUACAACUACCUGCUUGCUCUUGUUUUGCUUGGGUUUUUUUGGUUUUUUUAUUCUAUUUCCUCUCUCGUUUCUUGCUGGUAUUCACUGUGUGAGUUGUUCUUUGUUUUAAUGGAACAGUAAGAAUUGUGUAAGCUUAAAAAAAAGUGCUGUACUUAAUUCUUGAAGAGAAAAAUGUUAUUGGGCUGAGCUCCUGCGUGCUACUGCUAACUUGGAGUGCUACUCAAAGAAUCCUCAGUGCCAGGACAGUUGGCACCUUAUUAAAAGCCUUUGCAGAGAAGCCAAAAUUCACAGGGGCCAGAGCGUCUUCUUGAGUAAAUUGGAAGAAUUUUUAAUGACUCAGGGAGAAGUAAGUGAUCUAUGACAGCUGAGAACCUGACCCUAAUACACCUAGAAAGCCAGUAUCUCUCACUCUAGGCAUGUUCCUCCAGGUCAGAAGUAAGGCAAGCUGUCCAGCAGAGACAGGGCACAUCUGAACUGCUUUGCUUGGUAUUUUGAACUCCUCUGUUAAAGAGAGAAAGGAGCUUGGUUUGUCUCACCAACACAGCAGUAACUUUUCUAGCUGAGCUGUAGUGAGUCUAGAGCAAGCACUGACUCGGCUCCUGCUGAGGUUUUGGUGGUGUACACUGCUGUCUUCCUGACUUGGUGAAUAAGAUCAGCAGUGUCUCAGAAAUGAUUCAUGACUUGGGGCCAAAGCAAGAUAUUGGUGGUGUGUGUUGUGUGGGCCACGUGUGGAAGUGUCCAUCAUUACAUUCCUGCUGAGGUGUGUGAGCUUCUGUGCUAUAUAUGGGAAGAACUCCUUGUUUUGUUGUAGAAAAGAACUGAUACUCAAAGAAUCCAGUUUCCUGUGAUUUUAGACACAUGCAAAAGUAAUGGAUAAAAACCUUCAUUGGAAACCAGCAAGGAAAAUGGGGGUUUUGCUUGCUAUUUCAAACCUAAAUAGGCAAACAAUAAUAGCUGGCAUUAGGUGAGGGAAGGAGAUGUGCAUGUUGGUUUCAAGAUGGUAAACUGACAUACCAGGCCUGUUAUUCUUUGCAGGUACUCUCCUGUUUGUUCUAUUGCAGAUGAUUAUAUGAAAAAACCCUCUAGUUUCAGUAGCAUGCUUCAUAUCAAGCCUCAUAAAGUAGUACCAGAAAUAGCUGAGGUUAUUCUGAGUUAAAUUCUCUUAAAAUAUACUGGAAAAUCAAGUUUAAAACUAUGCUUCAUGUUGGCAAGAUUCUUUUUAAGUAAAAUUUUAAUCUUCUCUUAUUUGAGUUUUAGAAUUAAUGUCUGUAUAAUGGAGGUUGGAAAAUACUGUACUUAUUGAAAAAGCAGUAUUUUAUAUUUAUGUUGACAGAACAUCAACUUUUUAACAUACAGAUUCCAUCAGCUGAAUGAGAGAAAAUUAAUUAGGGAAAAGUGCUUAUUUUGGGGCUGGUUUUUGGUGUGGGUUUUUUGUUGUUUUUUUUUUGUUGUUGGUUUGUUUUUGUUUGUUUGGUUUGGGGGGGGGGUUGGGUUUUUUUUCUUGAAAAUGAAGUUUUACUUUCAAAGUAUUGCUUGAUCUAGGAAUAAUUUGAAAAUCCUCAUAAAUAGGACAUUAGAAAUCAAAAGAAUAAAUGAAUAAAUGAGUUCAAGAUAAAAUCUUUAAGCAUCUAAAUAAUUUACAAGUCUUGGGUUCUGCUCUGAAAAGUAUGAUGUCCUGGUAUGCUUGAAGAGCUUUUUUUGUUUGGCAUAUACUGCAUGUAGAGUCAGGUUGUGGGCUUGUAAUGAUGUCCACACCUAGGAGCCAUGGUCACCCACCAGCAUUCCACUCUGCUAUGUGAUGCAGACAGAGAACAAAAAAUAUGUUUUCUGGCCUCGAAACACCUACAUACAUAAUACAAUCCAUAUGUGACUAUUUUUCAAAAACUAUUUAGAAAAGCUUAUUUUAUUAGGAUGAAGUUUGAUUGCUGAGCAAAUAUAAACUUUUAUGCCAAAUGAAGAAAUAUCCUAUGUCAAGCUAAACUUUAAGUAUUUUUCACAAUUUUUCGAUGCAUCUUCUGUACUUGAUGACUAUAAAAGAAUUUGCCAAGAAAAUGAAAGUCAUAAAAUUCCUCUGCCUUUGUGCAUUUGCUUUUCUGUUUCUUUUGUCUCCUGAAGCUGUAGGAGGUGUUUGCUGACAUGCUUUGAUUUCAGGGUACUUCUGGAGCAACGUGAUGCGAGAAGUGACUCAGCUAAGCAAACUGAGUUUGUAUGAACAUCAGAAGCCCUGACAGUAUGAAGCUGUAACUGGGAGUUAUGAAAAGAGGCAUCCAAGGGGCUCGAUGUGCUAUUUACAUACGUAUUUCACUAUAUGACAGCUAUGAAAUAUAAUUCCCAGUUAUGCUGCAAAACUGAAAACCAAAACUCCUUUCCCGAACCUUACUGCGUCCCAACAGCUUAGACAGAUUUCACACACGUUUAACACAUGAACAGAUAUCUCGUGCACAGUUCUGGCAAAAUAAACUCUUUUGCUUUUUUCUUGGUGUGAUGCAGGGCAGCUUGUUGUGUGACCACCUGUGUUUCAGGGUGUUACCUGUGUGGGGUUCUGUGCUACACCCGUGGAGCACACUGUCAGUCUGCAGGGUGAGGUAGGUACUGGAGAGUCAAGAGAUCUAUCUAGGCUUUUUUCCUCACUCUGCCACUUUUGUCUGUAGUGAAACAAAAAAAGAGUAAGAGAGACAGGAAAGCUAUUUUAUUAUGUAAGGAGAUUUGCAAGACAUUUAUUUUGGUUUGUUUUGUUGUGGGUUGGUUUGGUUUUGGUUUUUUAUUCCAUUGCCCUCCUUUCAAAAUUGAAAUCUUAUCUGUUCUUUUUGCUUUUCCUGGCAAUAGCCAUGUAAAAACAGAAUAACAGAUUUUUAAAAAAAUGUAGCUUUGCAGGAAUGAAAGAGCUGAAGCUUUUUUUUUUUUUUGAUCUGAGACAACAACUUCAAAUGUCUGCAUUUUAUAGCUGAAAUCCAGUGUCACAAAAAUAUUGCAGGAAGGAAAGAACUCUGUUAAACAGUUGUACUGCUGCAGCAUCAGUUGCUCCACUUCUCAGAGAGAAUACUAAUGGAGGUGGGAAGAAACGAAACUCUUCCUCACUGCCAUUUUUAUUUAGAUGGUCUCUCUGUCAAGAACAGGUAUGAGGGACAAAUUCACCCCCAUCUUCAUCCUUUACUUUGUUUCAAUCACACUAAUUUUCUCUUGACUCCAUUUCCCCACCUAUAAAACUGCAGUAGGGAACAGAGUUUUCAAAGGAAUCAUUUUGGCCUAAGUCCUUAAAGCUGAUUGGGUACCAAACUUGUGAAAUAAUUUAUAAGAGGAGUUGAGAGUUCAACACAAUCUGGAAAGAUGGAACAAACCUUUUUUAACUUUCACAUACUUUGUGUCUAUGUGCUUGAAUACAUCCAUUUUGAAAUUUCUAAAUGCUUUUAGUAGGGAAGAAGGCCUUUUAACUUCUGUAAUUCUCCCCAGUAAAAAAAAAAAAGGAUAUUUCCAGUAUAUAUGCCAAGUUUUCACUGUCGUGGACAAAAAAAAAAGUUUAAAGGCAGACAAAGAAUUGUUUAACCAGUUGUCUUUUCCUAAAAAGAUUGCUGGUUGACUUACAUUAUAUUUUUACUAUAUACAUAAACGCAAACUGAUAGUUAAGUGCUUUGGUAAGAAAGGUGGAUUUGUGCACAUACUUCAUUUUUUUGGUGAACUUAGAUUCGGACCUGAAUCCUGCAGGGGCUUGCCAGAUGCUUGACUUUGUUUUCAGUGGAACUAUUCAGAGUGUAUUAUGUGAAGCACACACAACGAUCCAAGAGACUUGAGUCAGGUGAGCCGUGCUAAAAGAAAUAAUUUAUAUAUAGCUCUUUCCCCUGUUAAAGAACUUUCUAGUUAGGGUGCAUAUUAAAAUGCUAAACUUUAUGGACUUCAGGAUUAGAUAUACAAUAAUAAUAACAUACAAAAAUAGUCUAUUUUUUUUAAUCUGUAUGGUUACCAAAAAUUUACUCUUUCAAAAAUUGCCAAAAAAAAAUCACUUCUGGGAAACUACACACACGAGCCUAAGGCCAAAUCUUUUUUUUUAUAUUUCCAACAACUGCUCUGUUUUGCUUCUUCUGUUUCCUUGUCAAGAGGAUCCUGUUUAGCUUUUUUGGCUAAGGGCAGUUGGGUAUUUAUUCAUUGAUCUCUCAUUUCUUGCAUUAUCUUGAAUUCUAAUUAGUUUUUUUAAGUCCUAUUACUUCACUCUCCAAACAUAGCUCCAACAGACAUCACUCUUCCUUUCUGUAGAGCUGUUCAGAACCAUGAAAGAACUGUCAUCUUACAUUCUGGGGCUAACCACACUGCCCAGCAGUUCUCCACCAGCUGCUUUCAUUGGCAGUUUGAUUGAAUGACUUUCCCCCCCCUCACAACAUGUGAUUCCAAGUGCCUGAAAAAGUGUUAAGUCACUUGAUGUUAGGAGAGAUUCUGUAAAUAGGACUGGGAGCAGUCCUCUAGGUGUUUGUAAUUAAUCAGGCUCCAAACACUUGGAGCUUUUGGAUGCACUUAUAAAAAGUCUAAAAAUGUAAACAGUUUUCUUUCCUCUCCCCAGGAAGUCUUAAUGCACUAAAGACGUAAGUGAAGAAGUUAAAUUGCCAGUGAUCAAAUCAAUUACACUUCAGAUCAGACUGUGGCAGGGCUUUUUGGUUCUCAACCAGAUGGAACUAGACUUCUUGUGAAGGAGAGCUACUGUUUAGAGGCCUGAUUUGAAGGCAAGUCUCCUCUUCAUCAUGAGAAAGCUACUGUCUGCUUCCCCAACUACAGACAUUUGGAAACAAAGGAGUUUGAGUGUUACUCUGUUGACGACAAAGCCAAAAACCUGAUUGACUUGGUAGUCAUCUUUCUGCCUGUGCUCUUCCUCAGUUUAACAGCUCAGCAGAGAAGCAGCAGCAACUUUAACUCCCUAAUUCUUGAGGCAGGACAGGACUUGUUAGAGAAGUACAGGUAAGCUUUAGCUGAAAUCACCACCCCUAAUUGACAUUGUGCUGGGAUACAAAUUAGAGACCACAAUUCCAGUUUGACCAAAGCCUCUUGUUCAGCCUGUGUCCUCUCCAGGAAACCCCUCCUUGCUUCCUCUCUUGAUGCUGAGAUAAAAAACUGCUGGCAACGAAGCAGAGCCAAACAAGGUUUUGGCAUAGAAAAUGGCUCUCACAGCAUUGCCAGAAGAAGGGAAUGCUGGAAAGAAGAUUCCUGGAGAGGGUUGAACUUCACUUUGCACCGUGCAAGCAGCACAAUGUGAGGCUGAAGAUGAACAGAUCCUGUCUCAAAACUGCUUGGAGAUUGAAGAUGCAGUAACAUAGAAAGCCUAUGCUUCAAUUUUAUCUAUACCAAUGGAGUAAAAUGUACUUACUGUAUUUGCAAAGUGGCAAGAAGUUCAGUGGAGUGGAGCUUCAGUACUAAAUAUCCUUUACACCUGCUUUCUGGCCUGUUACAGUGUCAGUGUAAGCAAAAUUCAAGUGUAUAUUGUCUCCUUCACACAAGUGCAGUCAAAAAUUCUAGCAUGAAGGCUUUUUGGUGCAAAUAAAAACUGUUUGCCUAAGGACAAACUUCAGAGGAAUGCAAAUUUUCCAGUAUCUCCUGAUUCUUGUCAGGAUGACUGUGUGUCACAGAAAUUACUUUUCUUGAGUUCUGUGCUUCUUUCACCAAAACUUAGGAAUUAAAAAAAAAAAAAAAAGCAUUCAUAAUGGGCAUGAUCCCAGGUAUUUGUCAAAUCUCUGAACAACAUUUGGGGUUUAUCUGUCUUCAAGUUUAAGUUUAUCUGUCUUCAAAUCUGGGUUUCUCCAGAUUUGCGGAUGCUAUCAUUAAUACUUAGUCAUAGCACAGAGCAGCCCUUUUGCUUUGUUCUGUUGGGUUUUGGGUGUUUUGCCUGCUGCAAGCGAAAACAUAAAAAUAUUAAGAACCAGAAAUGAAUGUGGAAAAAUCUUUGAAAAUAAACUAACUCCAAUGCUUUAAAUUGUUAGAAAUAAGACAUAUGUAAACGAUUUGUUUGUGUUUGUUUAAAGAAGCUCUGUUUAAUGUUAAUUUAGUGAAAUUCAACUGUUGCAUAAACUUCUAGGAAUUAUUUGAAGAUUCCUAGGAAGAUUAAUUGGUCUUUUUUUUUUUUUGGAAUGGUACUUGCUUGCUACUUUUUAAAAUAAAGUUGAAGAGAAUGAGACUACAUAAGAUUUUGAAUCCUUCUUAACCAACAAAAGAAAACACAAAAUAUAAUGCAAAAUACUCUGGCUGAUCUGACUAAAAU